rnacentral:rRNA from 1 species
ACUCAAAGGAAUAGACGGGGGCCCGCACAAGCGGUGGAGCAUGUGGCUUAAUUCGAUGCAACGCGAAGAACCUUACCAGGCCUUGACAUGCACUAGACCGGCGCUGAAAGGCGCCUUUCCUUCGGGACUAGUGCACAGGUGCUGCAUGGCUGUCGUCAGCUCGUGUCGUGAGAUGUUGCGUUAAGUCGCGCAACGAGCGCAACCCCUGUCCUUAGUUGCCAUCAGGUAAAGCUGGGCACUCUAGGGAGACAAACCCUCUCUGAGGGUGGGAAGGUGGGGAUGACGUCAAGUCAGGAUGGCCCUUACGGCCUGGGCUGCACACGUGCUACAAUGCCCGGUACAGAGGGAAGCAAGACCGCGAGGUGGAGCAAAUCCUCAAAACCGGGCCCAGUUCAGAUUGCAGUCUGCAACUCGACUGCAUGAAGCCGGAAUCGCUAGUAAUGGCGUAUCAGCUACGACGCCGUGAAUACGUUCCCGGGCCUUGCACACACCGCCCGU